UACGGAAGGUGCAAGCGUUAUCCGGAAUCACUGGGUUUAAAGGGUGCGUAGGCGGUCUAAUAAGUCAGAGGUGAAAGGUCUGGGCUCAACCGAGGCACUGCCUUUGAUACUGUUAGACUUGAAUCAAGCUAAGGUAGGCGGAAUGUGACAUGUAGCGGUGAAAUGCAUAGAUAUGUCAUAGAACACCAAUUGCGAAGGCA
rnacentral:rRNA from 1 species